UCUGAAUCUGCGUACGGCUCCGCAAACCAGUUGUAAACUAUAGCAAGCAGGCUCAGGGUCGGCCUUCACGGGCUGGCCUCGGGCGAUAUGGAUAACCCUGGUAAUUCUGAGGCUAAUACAUGAACGUAGAACCCGGUUGACCAGGCCUCACGGCUAGGGAUGCUGGGGGAUGUGCGAUUGCAGGCUUGGGUAACUCCGGGAAAGGGCGCACGUCCAGACCGCGCUAUAAAGGAUGGGCUUCUCACGAGGCCUGCCCCAGCGGCUCUUGCUGUGUGCUUCUGACCUAUCAACUAGACGGCAGCGUAAGGGACAUGCUAUGGU
rnacentral:rRNA from 1 species